rnacentral:piRNA from 1 species
UGUAAAUAAGUGCUCUGUUUGCACAUGUGC